CCCGCACAAGCGGUGGAGCAUGUGGUUAAUUCGAAGCAACGCGAAGAACCUUACCAGGCCUUGACAUGCAGAGAACUUUCCAGAGAUGGAUUGGUGCCUUCGGGAACUCUGACACAGGUGCUGCAUGGCUGUCGUCAGCUCGUGUCGUGAGAUAUUGGGUUAAGUCCCGUAACGAGCGCAACCCUUGUCCUUAGUUACCAGCACGUUAUGGUGGGCACUCUAAGGAGACUGCCGGUGACAAACCGGAGGAAGGUGGGGAUGACGUCAAGUCAUCAUGGCCCUUACGGCCUGGGCUACACACGUGCUACAAUGGUCGGUACAAAGGGUUGCCAAGCCGCGAGGUGGAGCUAAUCCCAUAAAACCGAUCGUAGUCCGGAUCGCAGUCUGCAACUCGACUGCGUGAAGUCGGAAUCGCUAGUAAUCGUGAAUCAGAAUGUCACGGUGAAUACGUUCCCGGGCCUU
rnacentral:rRNA from 1 species